GCAGAAUCUGAUAGAAGCAAAUACAAAUAAGUGUGCUGGAACAUAUGGUUAUAUGGCUCCUGAGUACGCGAUGCAAGGCUUGGGAACUUUGGAGUAACAAUGCUGCAAUCAAGGUCAUGGAUCCGAUGCUGAAAAGUUCAUGCAGUCGUAUAGAUCA